rnacentral:rRNA from 1 species
UGAGGAACAUGACCUUCGGCGGGGGAUAGCCGGCCCAACGGCCGGGUAAUACCGCGUACGACCACAUGGGGACAUCCCUGAGUGGUGAAAGCAGCAAUGCGCCGAUGGAGUGCCUCGCGGCCUAUCAGCUAGUUGGUGAGGUAACGGCUCACCAAGGCGACGACGGGUANCUGGUCUGAGAGGAUGGCCAGCCACAUUGGGACUGAGACACGGCCCAGACUCUACGGGGAG